rnacentral:rRNA from 1 species
UACAGAGGUCUCAAGCGUUGUUCGGAUUCAUUGGGCGUAAAGGGAGCGUAGGUGGCGGGGCAAGUCAGGUGUGAAAUCUCGGAGCUCAACUCCGAAACUGCACUUGAUACUGCCUUGCUAGAGUACUGGAGAGGAGAUUGGAAUUUACGGUGUAGCAGUGAAAUGCGUAGAUAUCGUAAGGAAGACCAGUGGCGAAGGCGAAUCUCUGGACAGUUACUGACACUGAGGCUCGAAGGCCAGGGGAG